rnacentral:rRNA from 1 species
AUUGAACGCUGGCGGCAUGCCUUACACAUGCAAGUCGAACGGCAGCACGGGAGCAAUCCUGGUGGCGAGUGGCGAACGGGUGAGUAAUAUAUCGGAACGUGCCCAGUCGUGGGGGAUAACGCAGCGAAAGCUGUGCUAAUACCGCAUACGAUCUAAGGAUGAAAGCGGGGGAUCGCAAGACCUCGCGCGAUUGGAGCGGCCGAUAUCAGAUUAGCUAGUUGGUGGGUAAAGGCCCACCAAGGCGACGAUCUGUAGCUGGUCUGAGAGGACGACCGGCCACACUGGAACUGAGACACGGUCCAGACUCCUGCGGGAGGCAGCAGUGGGGAAUUUUGGAGAAUGGGCGCAAGCCUGAUCCAGCAAUGCCGCGUGCAGGAUGAAGGCCUUCGGGUUGUAAACUGCUUUUGUACGGAACGAAACGGCCCUUUCUAAUACAGGGGGCUAAUGACGGUACCGUAAGAAUAAGCACCGGCUAACUACGUGCCAGCCGCCGCAGUAACAC